AUGCACGCUGGCGGCGUGCCUAAUACCUGCCAGUCGCGCGAACAGACGAGGAGCUUGCUCCUCUGACGUUAGCGGCGGACGGGUGAGUAACACGUGGAUAACCUACCUAUAAGACUGGGAUAACUUUGGGAAACCGGAGCUAAUACCGGAUAAUAUAUUGAACCGCAUGGUUCAAUAGUGAAAGACGGUUUUGCUGUCACUUAUAGAUGGAUCCGCGCCGCAUUAGCUAGUUGGUAAGGUAACGGCUUACCAAGGCGACGAUGCGUAGCCGACCUGAGAGGGUGAUCGGCCACACUGGAACUGAGACACGGUCCAGACUCCUACGGGAGGCAGCAGUAGGGAAUCUUCCGCAAUGGGCGAAAGCCUGACGGAGCAACGCCGCGUGAGUGAUGAAGGUCUUCGGAUCGUAAAACUCUGUUAUUAGGGAAGAACAAAUGUGUAAGUAACUAUGCACGUCUUGACGGUACCUAAUCAGAAAGCCACGGCUAACUACGUG
rnacentral:rRNA from 1 species